rnacentral:lncRNA from 1 species
UCACAUAACUAUAUGCAUGAAUUAUUCUGUCGAUUGAAACAAAAAGAGAGUUUUGUUCGAAAGCUAAAAUAUAUUAUGUUUCAAUUUUUUAAUGCAUUUAAUGCAGAUAAAAUUAUCGAGAAUAAUUAUGAUUUAAAAAAACUUUAGCUUUCAAAAUUAAAGAAAGAUCAGAUAAUUUUUUAACAUUAUUUUUAUUUAAAUUUUUAUAUAUAAUUAUUUAUUCGAUAAAAUAUAAAUAGAGCGACUAAAUUUGGUGAAAUUAUUAAAAAAAUUAAAAAAUUCUCAUUUUUUUUAUACACUGAAAUGGAUAUCAACUAAAAAAAUAAAGUUAAGGGAGCAGUUUCAAAAUGGCAUAAGUUGAGAGGAUCUCCAUACAUUUUUACUUAAGAGAAAGUCAUUCUGUAUUUACAGGGGUAUAGGUGAUAUUUUAAAUUUUAUAGGGGCAUCCAUGAUAUUUUAGACUUU